CACCCGGUAGCUGAGUGGUUAGAGCGCUGGCUUGACAAGCCAGAGGACCGGAGUUCGAUUCCCCGGGCGGGUGG